rnacentral:rRNA from 1 species
UAAAGUGAUUAAUUAACUUUAUAAGCUUGAAAGGGCCGCAGUGAUCAGACUCAAGCGACUGUUUAUCAAAAACACAGGAGGAUGCAAAGUUCUAACACAACGUAUAUCCUCUGACACCUGCCCGGUGCUGGAAGGUUAAGUGGAGAGGUUAGCUUCGGCGAAGCUUUGAAAUUAAGCCCCAGUAAACGGCGGCCGUAACUAUAACGGUCCUAAGGUAGCGAAAUUCCUUGUCGGGUAAGUUCCGACCUGCACGAAUGGUGUAACGAUUUGAGUACUGUCUCAACCAGAGACUCGGCGAAAUUGCAAUGUGAGUAAAGAUGCUCACUAUGCGCGACAGGACGGAAAGACCCCGGAACCUUUACUGCAACUUGAUAUUGAAUGUUGGUAUGCAGUAUGCAGGAUAAGUGGGAGACUUUGAAAAAAUGGCGCUAGUCAUUGUGGAGUCAUCCUUGAGAUACCACUUUCUUCAUAUUGACCUUCUAACCUAGAUCCGUUAUCCGGAUCAGGGACAUUGUCUGGUAGGCAGUUUCACUGGGGCGGUGGCCUCCAAAAAAGUAACGGAGGCGCUCAAAGGUCACCUCAGCGUGGACGGCAAUCACGCAUUGAGUGUAAGUGCAAAAGGUGGCUUGAUUGUGACACAAACAAGUGAAGCAAGUACGAAAGUAGGAACUAGUGAUCCCAUGGUUGCAUGUGGGUGCGCCAUGGCUCAUCGGCUAAAAGGUACUCCGGGGAUAACAGGCUUAUACCCCCCAAGAGUCCAUAUCGACGGGGGUGUUUGGCACCUCGAUGUCGGCUCUUCUCAUCCUGGGGCUGGAGCACGUCCCAAGGGUUAGGCUGUUCGCCUAUUAAAGAGGAACGCGAGCUGGGUUCAGAACGUCGUGAGACAGUUCGGUCCCUAUCCGUCGCGCACGUAAGAAAUUUGAAGAAAGUUGUCCCUAGUACGAGAGGACCGGGAUGAACGAUCCGCUGGUGUGCCAGUUGUCUGCCAAGAGCACGGCUGGUUAGCUACGAUCGGAAAGGAUAAGCGCUGAAAGCAUCUAAGUGCGAAGCCCCUUCUAAGAUAAGAUUUCUCAUCGGGUUAACCGAUUAAGACUCCUUAUAGAACAUGAGGUUGAUAGGUCAGAAGUGUAAGUACAGUAAUGUAUGUAGCUGACUGAUACUAAUAAGUCGAGGGCUUGAGCU